UUUUAUUUGAGAGUUUGAUCCUGGCUCAGGAUGAACGCUGGCGGCGUGCCUAACACAUGCAAGUUGAGCGAUUUACUUCGGUAAAGAGCGGCGGACGGGUGAGUAACGCGUGGGUAACCUACCCUGUACACACGGAUAACAUACCGAAAGGUAUGCUAAUACGGGAUAAUAUAUUUGAGAGGCAUCUCUUGAAUAUCAAAGGUGAGCCAGUACAGGAUGGACCCGCGUCUGAUUAGUUAGUUGGUAAGGUAACGGCUUACCAAGGCGACGAUCAGUAGCCGACCUGAGAGGGUGAUCGGCCACAUUGGAACUGAGACACGGUCCAAACUCCUACGGGAGGCAGCAG
rnacentral:rRNA from 1 species